UAAUAUAUGUGGGUAAUGUGUCUUCACAGUUUUACCUGUGCAGUCCGAACAGGCUAAUCAGGAAAUACGCUUUUAUAGAUUAUUUUUUGUUUUUAGAAGGUCUCUUUUGAACAAAAUCAAGUGUACGCGGAAAGUGUUGUACCUAAUUGGCCGGUGCACAUUUCACACUCCAAUCUGUGAAUAUUAAGCCAAGUCCGCUACGCCGUCUAAGAUAAGAUAAGUACACACACCUUUAAGGUGCCUCAUUCUGGGACAUUAGCCUCGUUCUGGUAAAAUGGGGCUAAAAGCAUGUGAGUAAAGUUUCUGCUGGGACGAUACUUUCCGCUUCAAUUUGUAUCGACACAAUCCAUAAAAUCAUACAGUUUUGCCCCCGAUUGCCUAAGCGGACUAACAGGCUUGUGUGGGAAAAUACUUUAUGCGUAUGCAUGAUGCACAGUUAAGCAAAACGCGGCCAGAUAAGAAUUUGCUAGUGAUCGUAUUUAACAUGCGAUGUUUACGAAGGAAACUCGGAUUCCUCAUCGCAUGACAAGUCUCCAAGUCGGUAAUGUGUCAAUUGUAAAGGAUAACAGGGGCACAAAUCGGAUCCUCGAAUAGGACCUCGGCGCGGACAAACGUGAUAUACCGGUAGUUUGCAUCGAAAGCCUAAAGCUUACUGUAAGUAAAUCUCCCAAACCAGUUUCAUGGGAAGAACCAGUACUUGGUGUCUUUGGGGAGAAAGAAAGAAAGUUCCCACAGGGGAGUCGAACCCGUGACCACCCAGUCGCUAGACGAACACCAUAUCUACUACGCUUCGGCGACAUUUAAAUGGUGAGAUUAUGUCGAUGGUAAAGUAAGCAUAUGAAUGUGGAUUCAUGAAUGAAUAAGUGAGAUAAUUAUUAAUUGUAAUAUAUAUUAAUAAUAGAUGGUUUUCGAUAUUGGUUUGAAUGAAGAAAAAUGAAGAAAAAAGAGGAUAGAAGAAGAAACGGGUAGAGAAGAAUAAUAAAAAAGUGAUAUUAUUAUGUCGACGGAUGAGUGAGUUCCGGAAUAUGAAUAUUGAUUUAUGGGUAACUGAGGCCUCCAAAGAAAUGUGAUUUUCAAUACCUGUUUAAAUUAAGAUUGGAAAGAAGAAGAGAACAAGAAGGAAAAGUUAAGGUUUAUUUAUAUAGGAAUAUUGCGAAGUAUCUGAUUGGUGAAAAAAAAUACUUAUUUCUAAGCAACAUGCAACUUCAUUUGUAUUACCUGGUAAAUAUUGAGUUGCGAAAAUCACGAUAAUCCGCACGUAAAUAGUAAUUGCACAACCGACUCUUCUUCAACUUUUCAUAACCUUAUUCACCGGAAUUAUCUCUGGGUCCCAUCUGGUAGCUGGCAGGGGUAGACGACCCGACACGGUACCCGCAGUUCCCGCCCUCAAAGUCGCAUGCCGCCUGAUCAGAAAAAAACAAAGAGAUGUUAAUAUACCAACACCGGACUUACUUGAAGCCCAUCAUCCGACAAACGACGGUCCCUUGCCGCGCGCCAAAUCCGUCGUCGCACACCGCCCGCCACUCGCCCUCGUGGUUCAUCUUCCAGACACGAGCUGCCUUUUGACAUG